GGGGUUGCAGCUCAGUGGUAGAGCACUUGCCUAGUAUGUGUGAGGCCCUGGGUUCGAAUCUCAGCACCA
rnacentral:tRNA from 1 species